rnacentral:siRNA from 1 species
GGUAACAUGUCUGAUGUUGA